rnacentral:rRNA from 1 species
AUUGAACGCUGGCGGCAGGCCUAACACAUGCAAGUCGAGCGGUAACAGGAAGCAGCUUGCUGCUUCGCUGACGAGUGGCGGACGGGUGAGUAAUGUCUGGGAAGCUACCUGAUGGAGGGGGAUAACUACUGGAAACGGUAGCUAAUACCGCAUAAUGUCGCAAGACCAAAGAGGGGGACCUUCGGGCCUCUUGCCAUCGGAUGUGCCCAGAUGGGAUUAGCUUGUUGGUGGGGUAACGGCUCACCAAGGCGACGAUCCCUAGCUGGUCUGAGAGGAUGACCAGCCACACUGGAACUGAGACACGGUCCAGACUCCUACGGGAGGCAGCAGUGGGGAAUAUUGCACAAUGGGCGCAAGCCUGAUGCAGCCAUGCCGCGUGUAUGAAGAAGGCCUUCGGGUUGUAAAGUACUUUCAGCGGGGAGGAAGGGAGUAAAGUUAAUACCUUUGCUCAUUGACGUUACCCGCAGAAGAAGCACCGGCUAACUCCGUG